rnacentral:rRNA from 1 species
CCUACGUGGGGCAGCAGUGGGGAAUAUUGCACAAUGGGGGAAACCCUGAUGCAGCGACGCCGCGUGAGUGAAGAAGUAUUUCGGUAUGUAAAGCUCUAUCAGCAGGAACGAGACAAGACGGUACCUGACAAAGAAGCCCCGGCUAACUACGUGCCAGCAGCCGCGGUAAUACGUAGGGGGCAAGCGUUAUCCGGAAUCACUGGGUGUAAAGGGAGCGUAGACGGCUGUGCAAGCCUGAAGUGAAGGGCGGGGGCCCAACCCCUGGACUGCUUUGGGAACCGUACGGCUGGAGUGCAGGAGAGGUAAGUGGAAUUCCUAGUGUAGCGGUGAAAUGCGUAGAUAUUAGGAGGAACACCAGUGGCGAAGGCGGCUUACUGGACUGUAACUGACGUUGAGGCGCGAAAGCGUGGGGAGCAAACAGGAUUAGAUACCCUUGUAGUC